rnacentral:rRNA from 1 species
UACGUAGGGGGCAAGCGUUGUCCGGAUUUAUUGGGCGUAAAGCGCGUGUAGGCGGCCACACAGGUCCGCUGUGAAAACUCGAGGCUCAACCUCGAGCUGUCGGUGGAAACCGUGUGGCUAGAGUCCGGAAGAGGAGACUGGAAUUCCCGGUGUAGCGGUGGAAUGCGCAGAUAUCGGGAGGAACACCGGUGGCGAAGGCGGGUCUCUGGGGCAUAACUGACGCUGAGGAGCGAAAGCCAGGGGAGCAAACGGG